rnacentral:rRNA from 1 species
UUAAGUUAUUAAGGGCGCACGGUGGAUGCCUUGGCACUAGAAGCCGAUGAAGGACGUUACUAACGACGAUAUGCUUUGGGGAGCUGUAAGUAAGCUUUGAUCCAGAGAUUUCCGAAUGGGGAAACCCAGCAUGAGUUAUGUCAUGUUAUCGAUAUGUGAAUACAUAGCAUAUCAGAAGGCACACCCGGAGAACUGAAACAUCUUAGUACCCGGAGGAAGAGAAAGAAAAUUCGAUUCCCUUAGUAGCGGCGAGCGAAACGGGAAGAGCCCAAACCAACAAGCUUGCUUGUUGGGGUUGUAGGACACUCUAUACGGAGUUACAAAGGACGACAUUAGACGAAUCAUCUGGAAAGAUGAAUCAAAGAAGGUAAUAAUCCUGUAGUCGAAAAUGUUGUCUCUCUUGAGUGGAUCCUGAGUACGACGGAGCACGUGAAAUUCCGUCGGAAUCUGGGAGGACCAUCUCCUAAGGCUAAAUACUCUCUAGUGACCGAUAGUGAACCAGUACCGUGAGGGAAAGGUGAAAAGCACCCCGGAAGGGGAGUGAAACAGAACCUGAAACCGUGUGCUUACAAGUAGUCAGAGCCCGUUAAUGGGUGAUGGCGUGCCUUUUGUAGAAUGAACCGGCGAGUUACGAUUUGAUGCAAGGUUAAGCAGUAAAUGUGGAGCCGUAGCGAAAGCGAGUCUGAAUAGGGCGUUUAGUAUUUGGUCGUAGACCCGAAACCAGGUGAUCUACCCUUGGUCAGGUUGAAGUUCAGGUAACACUGAAUGGAGGACCGAACCGACUUACGUUGAAAAGUGAGCGGAUGAACUGAGGGUAGCGGAGAAAUUCCAAUCGAACCUGGAGAUAGCUGGUUCUCUCCGAAAUAGCUUUAGGGCUAGCCUCAAGUGAUGAUUAUUGGAGGUAGAGCACUGUUUGGACGAGGGGCCCCUCUCGGGUUACCGAAUUCAGACAAACUCCGAAUGCCAAUUAAUUUAACUUGGGAGUCAGAACAUGGGUGAUAAGGUCCGUGUUCGAAAGGGAAACAGCCCAGACCACCAGCUAAGGUCCCAAAAUAUAUGUUAAGUGGAAAAGGAUGUGGCGUUGCCCAGACAACUAGGAUGUUGGCUUAGAAGCAGCCAUCAUUUAAAGAGUGCGUAAUAGCUCACUAGUCGAGUGACACUGCGCCGAAAAUGUACCGGGGCUAAACAUAUUACCGAAGCUGUGGAUUGUCCUUUGGACAAUGGUAGGAGAGCGUUCUAAGGGCGUUGAAGCAUGAUCGUAAGGACAUGUGGAGCGCUUAGAAGUGAGAAUGCCGGUGUGAGUAGCGAAAGACGGGUGAGAAUCCCGUCCACCGAUUGACUAAGGUUUCCAGAGGAAGGCUCGUCCGCUCUGGGUUAGUCGGGUCCUAAGCUGAGGCCGACAGGCGUAGGCGAUGGAUAACAGGUUGAUAUUCCUGUACCACCUAUAAUCGUUUUAAUCGAUGGGGGGACGCAGUAGGAUAGGCGAAGCGUGCGAUUGGAUUGCACGUCUAAGCAGUAAGGCUGAGUAUUAGGCAAAUCCGGUACUCAUUAAGGCUGAGCUGUGAUGGGGAGAAGACAUUGUGUCUUCGAGUCGUUGAUUUCACACUGCCGAGAAAAGCCUCUAGAUAGAAAAUAGGUGCCCGUACCGCAAACCGACACAGGUAGUCAAGAUGAGAAUUCUAAGGUGAGCGAGCGAACUCUCGUUAAGGAACUCGGCAAAAUGACCCCGUAACUUCGGGAGAAGGAGUGCUCUUUAGGGUUAACGCCCAGAAGAGCCGCAGUGAAUAGGCCCAAGCGACUGUUUAUCAAAAACACAGGUCUCUGCUAAACCGUAAGGUGAUGUAUAGGGGCUGACGCCUGCCCGGUGCUGGAAGGUUAAGAGGAGUGGUUAGCUUCUGCGAAGCUACGAAUCGAAGCCCCAGUAAACGGCGGCCGUAACUAUAACGGUCCUAAGGUAGCGAAAUUCCUUGUCGGGUAAGUUCCGACCCGCACGAAAGGCGUAACGAUUUGGGCACUGUCUCAACGAGAGACUCGGUGAAAUCAUAGUACCUGUGAAGAUGCAGGUUACCCGCGACAGGACGGAAAGACCCCGUGGAGCUUUACUGUAGCCUGAUAUUGAAAUUCGGCACAGCUUGUACAGGAUAGGUAGGAGCCUUUGAAACGUGAGCGCUAGCUUACGUGGAGGCGCUGGUGGGAUACUACCCUAGCUGUGUUGGCUUUCUAACCCGCACCACUUAUCGUGGUGGGAGACAGUGUCAGGCGGGCAGUUUGACUGGGGCGGUCGCCUCCUAAAAGGUAACGGAGGCGCUCAAAGGUUCCCUCAGAAUGGUUGGAAAUCAUUCAUAGAGUGUAAAGGCAUAAGGGAGCUUGACUGCGAGACCUACAAGUCGAGCAGGGUCGAAAGACGGACUUAGUGAUCCGGUGGUUCCGCAUGGAAGGGCCAUCGCUCAACGGAUAAAAGCUACCCCGGGGAUAACAGGCUUAUCUCCCCCAAGAGUUCACAUCGACGGGGAGGUUUGGCACCUCGAUGUCGGCUCAUCGCAUCCUGGGGCUGUAGUCGGUCCCAAGGGUUGGGCUGUUCGCCCAUUAAAGCGGUACGCGAGCUGGGUUCAGAACGUCGUGAGACAGUUCGGUCCCUAUCCGUCGUGGGCGUAGGAAAUUUGAGAGGAGCUGUCCUUAGUACGAGAGGACCGGGAUGGACAUACCUCUGGUGUACCAGUUGUCGUGCCAACGGCAUAGCUGGGUAGCUAUGUGUGGACGGGAUAAGUGCUGAAAGCAUCUAAGCAUGAAGCCCCCCUCAAGAUGAGAUUUCCCAACUUCGGUUAUAAGAUCCCUCAAAGAUGAUGAGGUUAAUAGGUUCGAGGUGGAAGCAUGGUGACAUGUGGAGCUGACGAAUACUAAUCGAUCGAAGACUUAAUCAA